AAUUCCAGUAAUUUAAGCUGUAUGUUAUCCUAUUUAUAACUUACUACAUUUUCCAAAAAAUAAAAAAGAACUGGAUUUACCUUUAAGAAACAUGUCAGCUUUUUGUGCCUACAAUGAAUUUGUAAAGCAUAAGGAAUGAUUUAGGUUUAAAAAAGUUGCUGUUGAGUCAUCUCAAAGUAAGUGAUGGAAAUCAAUUCAUAUUCAAAUAUUUACAGCAUUUUAUUUAUAUUAAUCCUUCUUUUUUUUUUUUUAAUCUAAACUGCAGGUGCGUGACCAUGGCCCACUGCAGCCCUGACCCCCCUUCGGCCCAUGCUAUUCCUCCUGUCCCAACCUGGGAGGUCCCAGCCUGGGAGAUCAAGGCUACAGUGAGCCAUGACCCAUCGCACACCUGCACUCCAGUCCUGGUGCAACAGAUGGAGAUCCUUUCAGGGAGAGAGAGAGAGAGAGAGGAGAAGAGAGAUUAAAGAAGAAUAUGUUCACUCCCACUUAUGUGUUUAUUGUUAUUGUUUGUUAUUAUUUCCUUGUUAUUGUUGUGUUUACUGUUUGUUUAUUUUGAGGCAGGGUCUUGCUCUGUCUCCCAGUCUCACUGCAGCCUCAACGUUUUGAGCUCAAGUGAUCCUCUCGCCUCUGUUUCCCCACCCCAUUUAUAUUAAUCCUUCAUACAAUUAGUGUUUCUACUAAUGUAGAUUAUCGAAAAUUAGAUAUUGAAUUAAAGCUAAUAUAUGAGAAGUUAUAUUGACAAAGAAAUUGUUACAUAUAUAAUUUCCAGAAUAGUAACUCAGGAGUUCAAAGUCUUCCAUUUUGCUUGAGAAAAAUGAAUAGUAAAUGUCUCUAAACAGGCAGCAUACAGAUUCAGUGAAAAGUUUGAAUUGUGAGCAAUGACAUCACUGAAUUGCUUUGGAUAUAAUUUAGCUUUUAAUAACUACACAUUAGUUAUAAUUCUGUGCAGUUUUAAUUUAUAACACUAGAUGGCACCUGUUAUAUAAUUCAGCUUUAAAUUGUAGUUCAAACCACCUAAAACGUUUUUAUUUUUGUGCUUAAUAGUAGUACUACUAUGCUUUAAACAAACAAAAAAUAUGUUUCUCUGUUAUUUUGAAGACAAAAUUAUUUUUGCUUGGUUGCAUUCUUGCCUCUAGUGACAGACAGCUCUGGCAUCCGAUGAAGUGAUCUUAGUUGUCUGCUCAUUUAUUUAUCUGCUUUUAGCAAGAAAUUACAUAACUUUUAUUUCUAAGAGAUAGUUGUUGGGCAGUUGUUGCAAAUAGAUGAUGUAGCUGUACAUUUUAAAUGUAUGCUCUGGAAUGAGUCACUUUUUUUCCCUGAGCCUCAGUGUCCUCAUUUGCCAAAUAAAGAUGCUUCCUAACUGAUUCCUGAUGACUUUUUGAAAGUGAAUUAGGAGAAUUGCAUCUUAAGGUACUUUAGACACUAUGAGUUUAUAUAUAGGCAAGAUAUUCAUUCAUUCAUAAACUAUUGCCUACACUUUGAAAUUUUCAUUUUUUGAAGUUGACUUACAGAGGUUCAUGUCUGAGUUACUGACCUUCUUAAAGCCUCAUCUUCAGCCCUCUCUGCAAUUACACAAUCCGUGCAAAUGGCUGUCUCGGGUUUUCAUAGAACAAGACGAUGACAUGCUGGAGGCUGCCAAGGCAUCACUGGGCAUCUACUUAACACUGACCAGAGGAUGUGAAGCCACUGAAAGCUUGACUCAGGGAAAAGAAAUGUGGGACCAUCACACACAUGAAAAUGGCUAUAAUCCUCACUGUAUUUUCUUAUUCUUCUUGAAAAAUAUAGGAUUUGAUUCCACAGUUCUUCUUGACUUUUUGAUUUCAUCAGAAACCUGUUUUCUUGAAUAUUUUGUUAGAUAUUUAAAAUUACUGCAAAAGGACUGGGAUAAUUUUUUCACCAUUUGCAAUAACUUUGAUGCAACUGAAUCUAAAUAUGACGUAAGUAUUUGUGGCUGUGUCCCCUCACUUGUCCAAGACCCAAGCACCAACCAAACAAUACCCCAUCGUUUGACUGCUCCUCAUAGUCACAGAGAUGUGUGUGCUCGGCACUCCUGGGCUUCCGAUGCUCCCUCUGAACCACUGAAAGCUGUGAUGUCCAAGGGGGCUCACACCAUGUGUGCUUCUAGUCUGUCUUCCCCCCGGGCCUCUCAAAGUCUGGUAGAUUACGACAGCUCUGAUGAUUCUGAUGUGGAAUCCACAGACCAGUGUUUAGCUAACAGUAAACAGACAUCUUUACACCAGCAAGCAACUAAGGAGAUUCAGGAUGCAGCUGGGACAAGCAGGGAUAAAAAAGAAUUUAGCCUUGAGCCUCCAUCAAGGCCUCUGGUUCUGAAAGAAUUUGAUACUGCCUUCUCCUUUGAUUGUGAAGUAGCCCCAAAUGAUGUCGUCUCUGAAGUGGGAAUAUUUUACAGAAUAGUAAAAUGCUUCCAGGAACUACAAGAUGCCAUCUGCCGUUUGCAAAAGAAAAAUCUUUUCCCAUAUAAUCCAACUGCACUUUUGAAGUUGUUAAAAUACAUAGAGGUGAUAAGUAAUAAAACUAUGAACACUUUGUAAAAC
rnacentral:sRNA from 1 species